UUGGCACCGCUAGAAGUGCCGUGCCUGUCUCAGUCGGCGACGUAGGUAUAAUUAAUCCUGGGGUGAAUACGUGAAUGACAUUUGAACGUUCCGCCCGGUGGUGGAGAUUACUCUGACAAAUAGCUAACAGCGCAUUAACCCCUUGGGUGAAGGAGCUGUACAAUGUGGGAUUGGGGAUUGAGACCAACUCAUGACACGGUAUCCGUAAUUGGGGGUAAAGGCUUACCCUACCUGCGAUCUGAAGGUGGUCUGACAGGACAACCAGACCCGCUGGGACUGAAACACGGCCCAGACUCCAACGCGAGGGAACACUGGGGAAUUUUGGACAGUGGGCGAAAGCCUGAUCCAACAAUGCCGCGUGCAGGAUGAAAGCCCUCGGGUUGUAAUGUGCUUUUGUUUCGAACGAAAAGACUGGGGCUAAUAUCCACGGGUCAUGACGGUACCGGCCGAAUAAGCACCGGCUAACUACGUGCCAGCAGCCGCGGUUAUACUGUAAGGGGCAAGCGUUAAUCGGAAUUACUGGGCGUAAAGCGUGCGCAGGCGGUUUUGUUCGACAGUGGUGUAAUCCCCGUGCUCAACCUGCGAACUGCCAUUGUGACUGCAAGGCUAGAGUGCGAUUCCAGGGGGAUGGAAUUCCAUGGUGUAGCAUCGAAAUGCAAUACAUAUGCGGAAGAACACCGAUGUGCGGAAGGCAAUCCCCUGUGACUGCACUGACGCUCAUGCACGAACGCGAGUAUAGCAAACGGGAUUACAUACCCUGGUAGUCACGCCCUAAACGAUGUCAACUGGUGUCGGGCCUAACUGACCAAUAACGAAACUAACCCGUGAGGUGACAGCCUGGCGAGUCUGACGUCAGGAAGAUAGUCAAAGGCUCUGACGGGCUCCCGAACAAGUGGUG
rnacentral:rRNA from 1 species